rnacentral:rRNA from 1 species
GAUGAACGCUGGCGGCGUGCCUAAUACAUGCAAGUCGAGCGAACGGACGAGAAGCUUGCUUCUCUGAUGUUAGCGGCGGACGGGUGAGUAACACGUGGAUAACCUACCUAUAAGACUGGGAUAACUUCGGGAAACCGGAGCUAAUACCGGAUAAUAUUUUGAACCGCAUGGUUCAAAAGUGAAAGACGGUCUUGCUGUCACUUAUAGAUGGAUCCGCGCUGCAUUAGCUAGUUGGUAAGGUAACGGCUUACCAAGGCAACGAUGCAUAGCCGACCUGAGAGGGUGAUCGGCCACACUGGAACUGAGAAACGGUCCAGACUCCUACGGGAGGCAGCAGUAGGGAAUCUUCCGCAAUGGGCGAAAGCCUGACGGAGCAACGCCGCGUGAGUGAUGAAGGUCUUCGGAUCGUAAAACUCUGUUAUUAGGGAAGAACAUAUGUGUAAGUAACUGUGCACAUCUUGACGGUACCUAAUCAGAAAGCCACGGCUAACUACGU